rnacentral:rRNA from 1 species
CGACUCCAUGAAGUCGGAAUCGCUAGUAAUCGUGGAUCAGAAUGCCACGGUGAAUACGUUCCCGGGCCUUGUACACACCGCCCGUCACACCAUGGGAGUGGGUUGCAAAAGAAGUAGGUAGCUUAACCUUCGGGGGGGCGCUUACCACUUUGUGAUUCAUGACUGGGGUGAAGUCGUAACAAGGUAACCGUAGGGGAACCUGCGGUUGGAUCACCUCCUUACCUUAAAGAAGC